UACGUAGGGUGCGAGCGUUAAUCGGAAUUACUGGGCGUAAAGCGUGCGCAGGCGGUUUUGUAAGUCUGACGUGAAAUCCCCGGGCUUAACCUGGGAAUUGCGUUGGAGACUGCAAGGCUGGAGUCUGGCAGAGGGGGGUGGAAUUCCACGUGUAGCAGUGAAAUGCGUAGAGAUGUGGAGGAAUACCGAUGGCGAAGGCAGCCCCCUGGGCUAACACUGACGCUCAUGCACGAAAGCGUGGGGAGCAAACAGG
rnacentral:rRNA from 1 species